GACGAACGCUGGCGGCGUGCCUAAUACAUGCAAGUGGGACGCAAGGAAACACACUGUGCUUGCACACCGUGUUUUCUUGAGUCGCGAACGGGUGAGUAACGCGUAGGUAACCUGCCUAUUAGCGGGGGAUAACUAUUGGAAACGAUAGCUAAUACCGCAUAAUAUUAAUUAUUGCAUGAUAAUUGAUUGAAAGAUGCAAGCGCAUCACUAGUAGAUGGACCUGCGUUGUAUUAGCUAGUUGGUAAGGUAAGAGCUUACCAAGGCGACGAUACAUAGCCGACCUGGAAGGGUGAUCGGCCACACUGGGACUGAGACACGGCCCAGACUCCUACGGGAGGCAGCAGGAGGGAAUCUUCGGCAAUGGACGAAAGUCUGACCGAGCAACGCCGCGUGAGUGAAGAAGGUUGUCGGAUCGUAAAGCUCUGUUGUAAGUCAAGAACGUGUGUGAGAGUGGAAAGUUCACACAGUGACGGUAGCUUACCAGAAAGGGACGGCUAACUACGUG
rnacentral:rRNA from 1 species